rnacentral:ncRNA from 2 species
AUUUAUCGUUGGAGGUGCUUCGCCAGGAGAAAAUUGCGGGGCUGAGAUUAAACUCAAUGAACCUGAUCCGGAUAAUACCGGCGUAGGGAUAACGAUAUCUCAACUUU